UCGGAGUUUGGGUCUGCCACGACUUCUGC
rnacentral:sRNA from 1 species